rnacentral:tRNA from 1 species
GGGAGAUUGGCGCAGUUGGUUAGCGCAGCGUCUUUACACGGCGACGGUCCUCGGUUCGAAUCCGAGAUCUCCCA